UACGGAGGAUCCAAGCGUUAUCCGGAAUCAUGGGUUUAAAGGGUCCGUAGGCGGUUUUGUAAGUCAGUGGUGAAAGCCCAUCGCUCAACGGUGGAACGGCCAUUGAUACUGCAAGACUUGAAUUAUUAGGAAGUAACUAGAAUAUGUAGUGUAGCGGUGAAAUGCUUAGAGAUUACAUGGAAUACCAAUUGCGAAGGCAGGUUACUACUAAUAUAUUGACGCUGAUGGACGAAAGCGUGGGGAGCGAACAGG
rnacentral:rRNA from 1 species